rnacentral:tRNA from 1 species
GGGGGUAUAGCUCAGUUGGUUAGAGCGCAUCCCUGAUAAGGAUGAGGCCCCUGGUUCGAGUCCAGGUAUCCCCA